GUUGAACGCUGGCGGCAGGCCUAACACAUGCAAGUCGAGCGGAUGAAGGGAGCUUGCUCCUGGAUUCAGCGGCGGACGGGUGAGUAAUGCCUAGGAAUCUGCCUGGUAGUGGGGGAUAACGUCCGGAAACGGGCGCUAAUACCGCAUACGUCCUGAGGGAGAAAGUGGGGGAUCUUCGGACCUCACGCUAUCAGAUGAGCCUAGGUCGGAUUAGCUAGUUGGUGGGGUAAAGGCCUACCAAGGCGACGAUCCGUAACUGGUCUGAGAGGAUGAUCAGUCACACUGGAACUGAGACACGGUCCAGACCCCUACGGGAGGCAGCAGUGGGGAAUAUUGGACAAUGGGCGAAAGCCUGAUCCAGCCAUGCCGCGUGUGUGAAGAAGGUCUUCGGAUUGUAAAGCACUUUAAGUUGGGAGGAAGGGCAGUAAGUUAAUACCUUGCUGUUUUGACGUUACCAACAGAAUAAGCACCGGCUAACUUCGUG
rnacentral:rRNA from 1 species